GUUAGGAGAGCCAUUUAUAUAUUGGGCACACUUACCAAGUGAAUAAAGCCACAAACAGAAGCGGGGAAAUAUUAAAGUACAUAUGCACGUAAUUUAGCCACAAAACACAGUAUAUAGUAUAGAUAACUGUUACACAUGAGCAGAGAGAUACAUAAGUAUACAUUUUAGCAGUAUAAACACUUUAUAUUAUUGAUAUCACUCCAUCACCUAUAUAUUUUGAUGUUAAGUAGAUUCUAAUUAGAUACAUAUAUAUCUUAAUAUAUAGACCUCAAUAAUUAGGUAUUUUAACUCUAAACACAAAAGCUCAUAGAUUAUUCUAAACUUAUAUUAUCAAAAUAAAUAGCUCUUCUUUUGCACUUAUUAUCUUCAAAGGUUGAAGAUCUUACCCCAAAAGCUCUUUGAUUUAGUCUUAUUAUUGGGAUAAUUCACAACCAUAAUUCCACCAUAUUUAGAAGCUGCAUCUUUGCUAUUAAUCACUCGCUCUUCCUUGUUGUGAUGGUGUUCAUGAGUGGCCUGAACCAGCCAACGCGCCGCCGGCGGCCUCUGCCUUGUCGAGGUAGCCAUGAAUCCACCGUUAGGGGAGGACCUUCUAACCCUAUUUGGGGGAUAGUAUGUGUCUAUGAUAUCAAACCCUUCUAACCCUAUUUGAACAAGAUCUUGUUGAUGAUGAUGUGCCAUGGAAAUUUUUGUGUCACACACUAAAUAAUAGCUUAGAGCAAUUAAGCAAAUCAAUAUUUUGGUUUUGCGGUUUCUUGGUUGAAAUUAAGUAGCAACUGCUCGAGUCUCAUUUAUAUAUAUACACGCAGCAAUAUGAUUUUGUACCUAAC
rnacentral:lncRNA from 1 species